rnacentral:lncRNA from 1 species
AAGUACUACAAAUUGCAGUAAUUAACAACUUUAAGAAAUUUAAAGAUCAUACAAACAUCUUUAAAUUAUAUAGAAAAUUUGGUUGACUCUCUAAAUUACAUCAGUGACACAUAAAUUCAAACAAUAAAAGUAACAUGUAUUGUCUAAAAAUUAUAUAAAAGUAUUGUAUAUCAUUAAAAACUUAAAAUAUUUAAAGAUCGUACAGAAAAUAUAAUUGACUCUUUAAAAUUUAUCUACAUCAUAUAACUUGAGACCAAAAAGUAACAUAUGUUGGGUUCGUGCUUGCAGGGGCUCUUGAUCUAGUAUUAUACAAGUGGCUUGAAGCCUUGAAGCAGGCAGGACACUGUUGUCCUGCCAACUUAUUGAAGGGUAGUUGUGUCAUUUCUCAAUAAUUUCAACCACCACAAAACCCCAUUUCAAAGGACAUAUUUGUCAUUUUACAAAAAUUUCAACCAUCACAAAACUUCAUUUGACGACGACGAUGGCGACAUAACGGCGAAGAUACAAGUGACUUGAAGCAGAGCUUACUAUAGGGUAUUUAUGUAAUUUCUCAACAAUUUCAACCACCACAAAAUCCCAUUCCAAAGGACCCCUGUGUCAUUUUACAAAAAUUUCAACCACCAUAAAACUCUAUUUGACGACGACGAUAACGACAUAAUGGUGAAGAAGAAGCGAAAGGGUAGAUCUCAAAUCUUAUAAGAGCCACAAAGCACGGUUGUUUGCCAGCUUAACAGUAGAGCAUUUUUUGUCAUUUUAACACAAUUUCAACCACCAAAAAAAUUUCAUUUUGAAAUUCAAUGUCGUCAAUAAACAAUGGUUAGGGUGGAAGAGAUGUUGUAGUAGAUAGAGAAGAAGACUAACCGGCCAUGGUAUUGCUGCAUAUGUUAGGUGUAAGAAAAAAUAUGAAGGGAAGGAAAAGGAGAUAUAGGCUAGCCCGCUAAUUUCGAAAAGGAAAAUUCAGUGAUACCAACGAUACAAGCAUACAUCCAAUAAAAAAUUGGAGAUGUAUAAUAUGAAAUCAUUCUGAGAAGGAACCAUACUUGAUUCAGAUCUUAGUUUUGAUCUUCUUCUUUUCUUGAUUAACAGAGAAGAAAAGAAGGAUAGAAAGACCCUAGGAAGAGAGUUAGAGAAAGCAGGACACGACCACAUAUUUUGUUGAAUGUGUA